rnacentral:tRNA from 1 species
GGUGGGUUCGCCUAAUGGCAUGGCAUCGGUCUUGAAAACCGACGGGCGCAAGCCCUUGGAGGUUCGACUCCUCCACCCACCG